rnacentral:rRNA from 1 species
AUUGAACGCUGGCGGCAGGCCUAACACAUGCAAGUCGAGCGGCAGCGGGAAAGUAGCUUGCUACUUUUGCCGGCGAGCGGCGGACGGGUGAGUAAUGCCUGGGGAUCUGCCCAGUCGAGGGGGAUAACUACUGGAAACGGUAGCUAAUACCGCAUACGCCCUACGGGGGAAAGCAGGGGACCUUCGGGCCUUGCGCGAUUGGAUGAACCCAGGUGGGAUUAGCUAGUUGGUGAGGUAAUGGCUCACCAAGGCGACGAUCCCUAGCUGGUCUGAGAGGGAGAUCAGCCACACUGGAACUGGGACACGGUCCAGGCUCCUACGGGAGGCAGCAGUGGGGAAUAUUGCACAAUGGGGGAAACCCUGAUGCAGCCAUGCCGCGUGUGUGAAGAAGGCCUUCGGGUUGUAAAGCACUUUCAGCGAGGAGGAAAGGUUGGUAGCUAAUAACUGCCAGCUGUGACGUUACUCGCAGAAGAAGCACCGGCUAACUCCGUGCCAGCCGCCGCGGUAACAC